rnacentral:lncRNA from 1 species
CCGCCCGCAAGGGGCUCGCGUCCUCCUCCGGCAUUUUCGUGACCCCUGUGUCAGUGUUCCCGGUGCAGGAGUGUAGCACUUUUGCUUGUUGGGGCUGCAUCCAGAAACCUGGGGAAAAUCUGUCCACUGGACGUCUCAGAAGACCGGCAUCAUCACUCCCACCAACUGGACUGCUGGCCGGUAGCAAAAGACCAGCUGGAAAUUUCAUAAAAGGUUAGACAAUCCACAGUUACUCAGUGUUACGCAACAGGUCUCUGCAGCACAGAGCACGAACUGGGGAGUCAGGAUGCUGGAGUCCAGCCCUGCCUCUCUGCGGAUUCCCUGCCUGACCUUGGGAAAGCCUCUUGGGGUCUCGGGGCAUAGGGCAGGACUGAGACGUUGAGACCCCAAGUGCAAAGAAGACACAUUUCUCCUACCACGAGUAAUCAAAAACACUAUGAAACUGUAAUAUGGGCCGGGUGCGGUGGCUCACGCCUGUAAUCACACUUUCGGAGGCCGAGGAGAUUGAGCCCAGGAGUUGAAGACCAGCCUGGGCAACAUAGGCAGAUCCCAUCUCAUUUUGUUAAUAUAAAAUUUUUAAAUAAUAAUAAAAC